CCAGGAACAAAUCCAAAGUCCUUGAGAUGAUCCCUGGGCAGCAAUGUGGGCUGAAGUGUCUGUUCAAAGCUGGAGACAAAGAGACAACACAAUCCUGAGCCACAUCCCCACCGGCUCUGGCCCCUUGCCACCAUCACCUGCUCACAGGGAUGAUGAGCAGGCAGGCACAAAUGAGAGUCAGUGCUCUGCAGGACUGUUGUGGUCAUGAGGAGAAACUGCUUCCAGAUCUCUCCAGAGGCCAAAGCUGCCCGGGUGUUUGACUCACUUGGGAAAGACGAUGACAUGGCCACUAAAGCUCAGGGAAGCAACAGGCACCACCCGGGAAACCACAAUGUCCAGCUGCUGGAGAGCCUGCAGCACAGAAAUGUGAAGGUUUUGGACUCCUCCAAGAUUCCUCGCCAGGUGGAACACUGGCCUCUGCAGGAUCACAGUCUUGUUCCCCACCAGGGUCUCUGUGUGGACCACAUCAAAAGACCCAAGGGUGGGAAUUCGGAUCCCCUGGAGAAGAAGGGAAAGGCCCAAAGGGUGAGAAUUGGUCAGAGGGAAGAGCUGAGGAUGAUUCCAUCAAGGAACGGUGCCUUUGACCAAACUCUGACAGUUCCCACUCUUCAGACGUCAGGACAGUGGGGAGAGCCCUGGGGAGGAGAUGCUGGGGGCCCUUUUUUCCCUUCACCCACCAAAAAAUCCAUGCUGGAGUCAGACAGAGGCAGCUCAAGGACACCCUGACUCUCCAGUGACCGGCCUCAGCCCUGUGGUACAAUGCCACCUCCCAGAGGCGAUACCACUCUUGCCCAAGCUCCAUUUGUCCCUCAGCAGGAGAUUUUGGGGUGAGCAUCCUGCAUUCUGAGGAGGGCAAGAGGGACUGCAGACCAUGAUCCAUGAGGAGGGCCAUGGGAUCUCCUCACUGCUCUUCUGGGUGGGCAAAGAAGGACGUUGGUAUUGUCUCAGGGUGUUGUCCCAGGGUGUUGCCCCACCUUGUGCAGCAACAGCUGUUGUUGGAUGUUGCUGGCCACUGCAUCCCAGACAGCCUUUCGCUCUGGAAAACAAGAAAAUACCAGGUUAUGCUGUGUUUCUGCUGGCUCUCAGCCUUCCAGCAUCCCUAGCAUGUGUCACAGCUGUCCCCAACUCCACAGGGGUCAGUGCUGAUUCUUUUCCCCACAUCCCUGAGAGGACAGCUACAGCAAUGCUCCUGCCUGUACCUGUGGGGGUUAUGCUGGGCAUCGUGAACACGAACUCCAUCCCACCCCAGAAAUCCAUCUGGGUUGGGCUCACACCACUGACAACAGCCAUGCCCUCAGUGAUGAGGAUGUUCACUCUCGGGGCUCUCUCCAGAGAGCAGAACCUACCUCCCUGAGGCCCCUCGUGUCCUGCUGUGUCACAGGCUCCGUGUGACAUCACAGUCCCACUGCUAUUCCAGAUCAGACUUUUGAAAAAUGAUGCUGAGGGCCCUUUAAAUAGGCUUUGAGCUUUAAAAUCAUAAGCCUUGGAGCUUAUGAGUGUGGUUUUGUAGUCCCAGAGAGUGGGUUUGGACCUCAGAUCAAUUCUUUGGUCUGCCAAAUGUGGGCUUUGGGAAUUUAAAAGUAAUGCUCUUCUCCCUAGUUUUGAGGCUUGUAUUAUAAAUAAGGUUUUGGGCUUGGAAAACUCAGUGUUGAGUCUGAGAAAUAAUCAACAAUAAUCUUCUGGACCUUGAAACUGUGUUUUGAAACCUCUACAUUCUUUUUUUCCCUUUUUGUUUAAAAUAGUGUUUCAAUUGAGGGGUUUCAUUACCCAAGGAUUUCUUUCCUCAGGAUCCCAUUGUGAGGCACCAGCUCUUAAAGCAAGCAGAACUCAGUGUUGUACUAGAGGUUUGUAAGUCAGGGAAAACAGAGACAUUAAAAUACAGUGAAAAAGAUAAAUGGCUUGACUUUAGAGACAUUUAAUGAAUCACUCAGUGCUUAAACCCCAGUGAAUUGAUGAAUGCUGUAGACUCCUCCAAAACAACUGGAAUACAAAAUACCAGAUGACAGGAUAAAAUUGGCUUAUAAAGUGAGCAAUAUUGUGAUUUGGAGUGACCUCCAGGCUCCCUAAUCUUUAACAGCAAAACCGUUCUGACACCAAGGAAAGCAUGAUGGAUCUUGUAUGGCAUUCAUCUGCCUCUUCAAAGAUGUCAAAAGCUGCUUGGGAGAGUUUAUCUGACUCCAGUCUUCAGUGAUCAGAGAUGCCAAGGGGAUUAAGGAGGGAAUUUGAUGCAGUCAGAGGUGUUACAUUUUAGGAAGACAAACUAGACAUCAAACCCAGUGAUUUAAAGUCAUUAGAGAGAAUGAGGGCAACCUUAAAGCAAUUUGAGAGGGAAGCAAAAGCAAAGGCUUGUUCCAGGGUCAGAGCACACAGAAAAGUCUGGGGUAGAUAAAGAAAAAUCUCUAUGGCUGAGGUGACAGCUGAGGACUCCUGAACCUCCACCAGAGACAUUGUUUGUCCUUGCAUGAUCAGCAUUCGACAAUGGAACCUCAGUCCUGUUUGUAAAAUAUAAUUUAUCAAAACGUCUUAUUGUAUAUGAUUCCAAAUGUGCCUCUCAAACAGGAAAGGUUCCCACUUAAAGCCAUAAAGUUUUGUCUGUCCAGGCUCUGCCCUGUUUGCCCCUCAUUAACCCUCUCAUGUGCUCCUCAAUUGCACCUUCAGUUCCUCAAAUAUGAUGUACAAAUCUGAUGCCUUUCAAUAAUGUCUGGUUUAAUCGCAACACACCUCGACUCCAAAAGAAACAGUGAUUCCCUCCAACAUCAAACCAAGGGGAUUCAAAAAAUGCCAGAGAAAACCAAGUGUGCUGGUUUGAUUUGGAUUUUUACCAUAAAAAUAAACAUUCAAAAAAGUCUUCAACUGUAAUUUCCUUAUAGGUAGGGGACGCAAUACAACCAGCACGCAACCUGUGGUUAUUUCCACAUUUGAAUAUAUGCAACUCCAGUAUUUCCUGGGCAUGGACUUGUCAGCAUGAAUUGGGGAAUAAUAUUGAAUUUUGGGGUAUAAUAUUGAUUUGGGAACAGAAAUUCCCUGAAGCUGCAAAGCCACACAUCAUCCAACUCAGGCACCAGAGAGCAGGAAGGGAAAACAAACAGAAGCCAGGAGGAGGAAUUAAUGAUGCAUCUCAUGAAGAGAAGUCAAAAUUAAUUUGUUGUUUUGGAGAAGGCAGCUUUGAGAACCACGGCAAUAGAAACUGA